rnacentral:rRNA from 1 species
AGCUUGCUCUCUGAUGGCGAGUGGCGAACGGGUGAGUAAUAUAUCGGAACGUGCCUAGUAAUGGGGAAUAACUAACUGAAAGGUUAGCUAAUGCCGCAUACGACCUACGGGUGAAAGCAGGGGAUCUUCGGACCUUGCGUUAUUAGAGCGGCCGAUAUCUGAUUAGCUUGUUGGUGGGGUAAUGGCCUACCAAGGCGACGAUCAGUAGCUGGUCUGAGAGGACGAUCAGCCACACUGGAACUGAGACACGGUCCAGACUCCUACGGGAGGCAGCAGUGGGGAAUUUUGGACAAUGGGGGCAACCCUGAUCCAGCCAUUCCGCGUGAGUGAAGAAGGCCUUCGGGUUGUAAAGCUCUUUCGCAAGAGAAGAAAACUUACUAUCUAAUAAAUGGUAAGUAUGACGGUAUCUUGACAAGAAGCACCGGCUAACUACGUGCCAGCAGCCGCGGUAAUACGUAGGGUGCAAGCGUUAAUCGGAAUUACUGGGCGUAAAGCGUGCGCAGGCAGUUUUAUAAGUCAGAUGUGAAAUCCCCGAG